GUGUCAGCCGCCGCGGUAAUACAGAGGGUGCAAGCGUUAAUCGGAAUUACUGGGCGUAAAGCGCGCGUAGGCGGUUACGUAAGUUGGGUGUGAAAUCCCCGGGCUCAACCUGGGAAUUGCACUCAAAACUGCGUGGCUAGAGUGUGGGAGAGGAAGGUAGAAUUCCAGGUGUAGCGGUGAAAUGCGUAGAUAUCUGGAGGAAUACCGAUGGCGAAGGCAGCCUUCUGGCCUAACACUGACGCUGAGGUGCGAAAGCAUGGGGAGCAAACAGGAUUAGAAACCCCGGUAGUCC
rnacentral:rRNA from 1 species